rnacentral:rRNA from 1 species
GACGAACGCUGGCGGCGUGCUUAACACAUGCAAGUCGAACGGAAAGGCCCUGCUUUUGUGGGGUGCUCGAGUGGCGAACGGGUGAGUAACACGUGAGUAACCUGCCCUUGACUUUGGGAUAACUUCAGGAAACUGGGGCUAAUACCGGAUAGGAGCUCCUGCUGCAUGGUGGGGGUUGGAAAGUUUCGGCGGUUGGGGAUGGACUCGCGGCUUAUCAGCUUGUUGGUGGGGUAGUGGCUUACCAAGGCUUUGACGGGUAGCCGGCCUGAGAGGGUGACCGGCCACAUUGGGACUGAGAUACGGCCCAGACUCCUACGGGAGGCAGCAGUGGGGAAUAUUGCACAAUGGGCGGAAGCCUGAUGCAGCAACGCCGCGUGCGGGAUGACGGUCUUCGGGUUGUAAACCGCUUUCGCCUGUGACGAAGCGUGAGUGACGGCAAUGGGUAAAGAAGCACCGGCUAACUACGUG